rnacentral:rRNA from 1 species
UACGGGGGGAGCAAGCGUUGUUCGGAUUUACUGGGCGUAAAGGGCGCGUAGGCGGCGUGACAAGUCACUUGUGAAAUCUCCGGGCUUAACUCGGAAAGGUCAACUGAUACUGUGCGACUAGAGUGCGGAAGGGGCAACUGGAAUUCUCGGUGUAGCGGUGAAAUGCGUAGAUAUCGAGAGGAACACCUGCGGCGAAGGCGGGUUGCUGGGCCGACACUGACGCUGAUGCGCGAAAGCCAGGGGAGCGAACGGG